rnacentral:rRNA from 1 species
GACGAACGCUGGCGGCGUGCUUAACACAUGCAAGUCGAACGGUGAUGGGGAGCUUGCUCUCCUGAUCAGUGGCGAACGGGUGAGUAACACGUGAGUAACCUGCCCUCGACUCCGGGAUAAGCGUUGGAAACGACGUCUAAUACUGGAUACGACUCCGGACGGCAUCGUCUGGGGUGGAAAGGAUUCCGGUCGGGGAUUGACUCGCGGCCUAUCAGCUUGUUGGUGGGGUGAUGGCCUACCAAGGCGACGACGGGUAGCCGGCCUGAGAGGGUGACCGGCCACACUGGGACUGAGACACGGCCCAGACUCCUACGGGAGGCAGCAGUGGGGAAUAUUGCACAAUGGGCGGAAGCCUGAUGCAGCAACGCCGCGUGAGGGAUGACGGCCUUCGGGUUGUAAACCUCUUUUGGCAGGGAAGAAGCGAGAGUGACGGUACCUGCAGAAAAAGCACCGGCUAACUACGUGCCAGCAGCCGCCGUAACAC